rnacentral:lncRNA from 1 species
UAUUUUUGAAGGGGGAGAAGAGUGUUUAUAUUGUUAUCCCUCACCAUGCUAUGGGGGGCAGUUUUGGCUAGGAUCUCAGGAUGUGUUGGUUGAACACACUCAGGUGCAGCUCCAGCCUGGCUAAAGUGAGCACCAAAUUUCCACACCUGGAAGGGAGAGCUAAUGGGUUGCAGCAAGUGUUGUUGUUCAUCAUAUUGCCUCACAGACUAUAAGAGAGUCUGUGAGGCCCCAUAUUAAAAUGGUUUCUGUGGGUGCUUCUGAGGCCUGGUGAGGGGCUCUUCUAUUUCAAGGCUAGCGCAACUUGUCUAGGCCUUACUGCACAGUGGUUUCUCUCUCUUGGUGACAAAAUUGUCAGCCAUGUCUUCAAGUAGUAGUGCCGUGAAUCUGAAGGACUCUGUUUUUUAGCCUUGUAGACUGUAAGCACUGCUUGUGCCUAAUAUGUAGCUCUGGUGUGCUGUGGAGAGUCUGCUGCACUGGGGUGCUGCUUGUGGCUUUGGGAUAGAUGCUACUACAGAGGGAGCUAGCAGCCCAAGUUCUCAGAUGCCAUAACAUGGAAUUACCUGGCUUUCAGUAAGCCUCUGUCUCACUGGAGUUUUAUUAACACGUGGCUGCUAUAAAUUCCUGGGUGUGGAGAAAGGAAGAAGCUUCUUUUUUGACCCCAAAGCCUCACUUUCACAGCCUCAAAGAAAUAAUACAGAAGUGCUUUUGUGUUGAAACCCAUGUGCGGCCUGCAAUGCCUUCAUGUGCAUGUGUUUCUCACAGGCUCCUUGCAGGAUGUGGUGGUCCUUUAAGUCCUCUGCUAAAGAAGGACAUCUAUAUAUGGAGAAACCCAUUGCAUUACUACUGGAAGAUGAGAGAAGCAGACAACAAAUUGUAUUGGUGCCCAAGUGAUGAAGGUUUCAAGAAAUUCCAAAAGUUAAAUUCUUCCAACUUUCUGAAAGGGUUGGAAUGUGGGAUCCAUGUGUGCAAUCAAAGCAGAAGUAUUAGACGAGAUUUUGGAUGAG